UGGUCAGGAAGCAGGGAGAGAUGAUG
rnacentral:piRNA from 1 species